rnacentral:lncRNA from 1 species
CGGCUGCGGUCGUUUCAUUGCCAACUGUGAGGAUGAAGCAGCUUCAUGGCCGGAGAUCGGGCGCCUCCCAUCAGUUUCCCUUUUCAGCAAUAGAGGCCUUGGAGGCCUUUCUACCUGCGUUGCAUCCUGUGGCUGGACCACUCCAACGAUCUCGGCAGAAUCGUUACACAGGAAGAAGUCUGGCUGGCCCCAAGCCUGGUGCAAAAUGAAGAAAUGGCACUCCACAUCAAUUCAUGUUUACUUGUCAUAACCAGUCUGUUAGCUUAAUUUUUGGUUCUUCCUAUUGAAUUCUCAAGAAAGGUACCAACUCUGUCAUUCAUUGAAAACAAAUUUUUGCACUUGGGGAUGCAGCCAUACACAAAGCCUUUGAGCUCAUUAAUAUCUUUAUUUUUUAAAGAAAGUGCAGCUCCUGCGUGGAGCAAUAGGUUGAAUAAGACGAGGGUAAAUGAAAAGAUGGUGAAAUUAGUCAUCAACAGCUGUCCAACAAAGGAAGUCUCAA